UACGUGAGGGGCGAACGUUGUUCGGAGUCACUGGGCUUAAAGGGCGCGUAGGUGGUUGCGUAAGUAACGUGUGAAAUCCCUCGGCUUAACCGGGGAAUUGCGCGUUAUACUGCGUGACUUGAGGAUCUCAGGGGAAGGGGGAACUCCAGGUGUAGCGGUGAAAUGCGCAGAUAUCUGGGGGAAGGCCGGCGGCGAAGGCGGCAUCCUGGACCGACACUGACGCUGAGGAGCGAAAGCCAGGGGAGCAAACGGG
rnacentral:rRNA from 1 species